UCGAAUGAGAUGUGAAUGAUUUUAUUGUUUCGUGUAUAUAUGUUUGUUAAUAAGCUGUGAAGCACUCUGUAAAUUAAACACCCUACUUGGGUUUCACUCUCCAUUUUCACUGUAAAAUCCGUGCCCUCGACUGUCCUUGUAACAAAGAGUAUGAAUGCGCCCACACGAUAGAAGGAAAUGUGUUCUUUCACUCUUCACCGUCAGUCUCAUUCUGUGAAAACGAGCUCCACCAGGAGGAUAAUCAACAGAGACCUUCAAUUAACACAUCACAGAGCUGUGUCUUAAAGCCUUCGUUUUGCGCCGAACAGUUCCUCUGAGCUCUGGGUCAAAGGUCACGGCACGCGGAUGCAAACGAUAAGAACCUGUCAGAUUUCCACCAGGAUGCUCCGUUUCCUGCUAUCUGCGUGUCACCUUAUCUGCGAGAACAGAUGGGCGGUCGUCAGGUAAAGAUCCGCGGGCGCGUGCGGCGACUUCUCCGUUCCGUACGCGCCACAUCGCACGCGUGCCGGCUACACGUGGCCGCCGCACAGAUUCUACAAACCCACCAGAUGUGCAACUCCUGCGUUCUGCGUCACUCCACCUCUCUCAGCUAUGGGAGGCCGUGGCUGGCACUGCGGCAGGAGCUUCCGGUGCUAUAUUACAGUAGAACCCGCAGUGAUUGUUACAUCAGCAUUGGAACGUUCAGCCAUGAACAUUCUUAUCGCACGCUGUAUUUGCGAUCUUGCACCUUAAAGGGUUAAAAGGGAUCAGGCUCUGUGGGGGUGGGGGUGGGGGUGGGGGGCGGGCGGCGGGGGGUGAAUAACUCUGGUCUGUGGAAUCCGGCUGCUUCGACGCCAGAGGGCUGGGGUUGGGGGAGAGAUUUGAUUAAAUGCCACAGGAGUUUCCCCACACAUUGCCUAAUCUGUGUGUGUAAGCACUAAUGUAGAUCCAGAUUGACUAUAUGCUGAUUCUGUAUCUUUGGGGGGUGAAUAGUUUCGCCCCGCCGUGCCGGGAGGGUAUUGAGCGGCUGUAGGUCACGUAAGCGCCGACUCUCGGUUAAAAGUGAGCGAUUGGCGGCUCGAUGGGUCCCGCUAUAUGUUCUCUGGAAACUGCGCCGAUGGGGACGGAGGUGCUGGCGAGGUGGGGGGGGGCCAGAAUGAAUGCGCGAAAAACUCGUUCCCAAUUUACAUGAGCGACGCGUUCCGCGGAUCAGCUGCCCCUCCAGAGGCAAGGAAUUGAGUUAUUGACCCAGGUAGAAAAAAAAUAAAUUCAUAAACGCGGUGACAUGCAGGUACAGCUCGCUUUAUGGAAAGAGAAAAAAUAAAAAAUCCCAGCCUGGUGAACAACGACCUUAAAAUGUGCCCUAUUCUUACCGAUUUCUAUGUUUAAAAAUAUAAGAAGCCCAGUUCUAAAUGGGAAUUUCAUCAGACAAAGGGUGGGAGUUUCUCCUCGUCACCGUGGGCUGUAAAUAGAUCUUAUGAUGGUUACUGUGCCACUGCCGCCUCCUGAUAAGCAUACACCCCCCCCCCCCCCCCCCCCGGGACAAUUACUAGCUUGCUCACUUUCUCACCGUGGCCUUUUCAAGCAAAUCUUUCGAACGGAAGUUGUGGUGACACCAACCCUCCCUCCCUCGCACCACUUCUGUGGGCCCGUGCGCAUUUCUCUGUUUGUCUGUGAUAUUUAUCUUCAGAGGCUGAGCUAAGGAGAAGGCUCUGACCCCCCCCCACCCCCCCCCCCCCCAAAAAAAGGGACGAAAAUUACAGGAAGCUGAGGGCGGGACAAAAUUCUAGAAAACCGUAACAAUAGGGGGACAGUGUCUGACAUUUUCUACCUUUCGGCCAGUUUAAGUGAACACUUUCCCCAAUUCAAACCUUUUAAGUUUUGGUUCAGCGCAGAUGCAUCCAUUAUCUAUACCCGCUUAUCCUGAGCAGGGUCACGGCGGGUGCUGGAGCCUAUCCCAGGGUGCAUUGUGCGAGAGGCAGGAAUACACCCUGGACAGGUCUCCAAUCCAUCGCAGGACACACACACCAUUCACUCACACACUCGUACCUAUGGGCAAUUUAGAGUCUCCAGUUAGCCUAACCUGCAUGUCUUUGGGCUGUGGGAGGAAACUGAGGCGACAGUGCUACCCACUGCACCAUCGUGCCACCCUGCACAGGUAUAGUGCUGUGAAAAAAGUAUUUUCCCCCCUUCCUGAUUUCCUCUAUUGCAUUUUGGCACAAAUGAUAUGGGUGUUUGAUAACCUGUUUCAUUAAAUAAAAUAAAUGAAAUAAUAAUUUAAAAAAUGGGUUUCCUCAGGUUUCUCUCCGUCUAAUAUUACAUUUUGUUGAAAGAUAUGAAACCACCGAGUGUGACAAAUAUGCAAUAAUGGAAGAAAUCAGGAAGGGGGCAAAUACUUUUUCAUGGCACUGUAAGAGAGGGAGGGGGAGGGCAUAGAGAUAGGGGGGGAUAUCGUUUAAUUUCAAGCGGGGAAGCAAUGGCAGAAAGCAGAAAAAUAAAGAAAAAUGGGCUCUCAAUCUUUCCGUGCCAGGACUGUGUCCCAGGGGAAGCGAGGUGAUAUAAGGUGUUCCCAUUGCCCCAGGCAGGUAUACCAUUUCUCUACACCCCACCCCACCCCCCCCCCACCCCCCCAGGGGGAAAACGGUCCUCUGUGUGAAUGAUAUAGCGUUAGGCUAUUCUGUGAGUCAUGGGUGUGGGGGGGGUGAGGGGGUGUGUGGGAGACAAGCCAGGAGAGCAGCAAGGAUAUAUCAAAACAGAGCUAGCCAGGUAAUCACUUAAUGCCAAUGGGCUUUUUUUAAUGUUUUUAUGUUUUUAGCUACUAUUAAUUUAAAUGUUAUUUCAGCCAGAAAAGUCAGCAACAAACCAAAGUUCCUCUUCUAAAUUUGUCAAGUGAGCCUUAGGAAACAAAGCUCCAAUACUGUGUUGUGACAAAGCUAACUAAUGAUUUGUACACCCAAGAUAUUUUUUAAAGAACCUCUAAAAUAAGUUAUUUAUCACAUAAAAACUAAAAAUUUGGCUGCACAAGGCCAACUUCUGUCCUGCAUCCAAGUGAAGUUCCCAAACCUUCCUCUCAUCUUAUUUUAUCAGUGCUAAUUAAAUUACCACCUGGUGUGUGAUUGGCUGUUUUGGGUAGAAAUGGUAAUGUGCUGUCUGAUAUGUAACUGUUUUGAAAUUGCUGAAAUUUAGGUACCCGCGACAUGUUUAAAGUUCAGUUCGAGUACAAACAAAUUCAUUAAAGUGAAAUUCACGCUGGUUAAAAUAUGGCGCCUCUCCUCGCAUUACAGUUUAUGAAUAUAAGGCCUUGGGUUUCAACCUGGUGGGGGGGGGUCAUUGAAGGUAUUAAUUGGAAUGGGUCCUUCACCAGGCACUUUGAUCCACCCGCCCUCCGGGCCAUCGCAAUCCCAAGCUAUGCCUCCCUCACUUCCCUGAUCAGAAAAGGUUUAAAACCCCCUACAUAAUAAUGGAUUAUGUAGCCAGUAUAAUGAGGGAGGGUCACGGGGUCUGCAGGUUUAACUCCAGUCCUGAAGAGCUGCAGUGUCUGUUCACUUUUUUGUGGUUUCAUGUAAAGCCUUGGGAAUGAGGUGUGUGGAGUCCUUAGCCAGUGUAAAACUUCAGUGAAUCACUCUUGCCAUAACAGACCCAAAGCCAGCAGACACAGCGGCCCUUCAGGCCUGGAGUUUGACACCCCUGUAAUCUAAGCAAUUUCAACUCCAGUAUUGGAAAUACAUUUAUCAAGCCCACCAUUUGAAUUAUUUGUUCGGUCCUAGUAUGAAAAGUAAUGCUGCAAGGAUCCAUGUUUAACCAUUUCAGUUUCUAGGUCUGUGAAAUUACACAUCACAGUGUGCUAAAGUGUCGCACGGACUGCAAAAUGGUUGAAUAAUCGUACAAUAAUCCAAUUGUGAUAAUUGUAUGAUAGCUCAUAGUAUAAUCUGUUUUGUCAUGUCAAAGCUUUGGCAGGUAAAUACUGGGUUGAGAUUAAACCCGUAUAUCAGACUCUGACAUUUGCUUGCUGAUUCAGAGUGAAAUGGACGUGUGCAUGCAUUCCAUUCUCCUUAAAAUCUUUCUCAGUUCAGGGAUUUAAUGUCCAUGUGGCAUGGAACGUUAAAGGAUUAAUUGGUCAUGGGGAAAAAUGAUAAAUCAGAAACACUACUACUCACCACCAUACAUUUAAACUGGACAGUACAGACAUACAUACAGUCCUUUAGACACAUUGUAGUGGGAUUGGUAUGCUGUAUCACUGUUUACUAUUAUUUAACUCUUCAAUGAAAAACCAAGAAUGAAGGACUAAGAGUACGUUUGUGACAUCACCAUAGUACGGUCAAUGUUCACUUUUCGGAUAGAAACGACACACAAGCUCCACCAAUCACAACAUACAUUGCUAACAACAAAUAGAAUACCGCCAAUGGUGAUUGGUCCUUAUUUCCAAGGCCCAUGAACUGUAAGGUGACAACACCUCUCUUAUCCCUAGUAUCUGAAUGUGAGGGAACUUUCCAAUGACAUUAGUGAUUGGAUAGAAACUCAUUUA